AGAACGAACGCUGGCGGCAGGCUUAACACAUGCAAGUCGAACGGUUGUAGCGAUACAGCAGUGGCAGACGGGUGAGUAACACGUGGGAACCCCUCCUAGGGGUACGGAACAACUCAGGGAAACUUGAGCUAAUACCGUAUACGUCCGUGAGGAGAAAGAUUUAU
rnacentral:rRNA from 1 species